CGGACUGCAGGGAGGACCGUUUCAGGUCAGGUCCAGCUCAAGUCCUCUGAGUCCUGGCCCAACCUAUGUGGCUUCUUUACCCAUAGGGAUCUACCUUCAACAUCUGGGAGCGUUCUUACCCUGUGAGGAAGUCAUGAAACACGACAGAAUCCACUAACAAGAGUUUUAUUAAGACAAGGAGAAAGGGACAGAUGUGAUCAGGCCUGCGGAAGGACACGUGUGUGAAGAGGGAGAAUAUACUGCCUGCCAGCCACUUCAACUGGGACUGGUCAAUUUAAUUUGAUUAAAUAUUGAGAUGACUGAAACGGCAUCCAGGCUUAUCUGCCCUUAUUCCUGACUCACUUCUGGGAUUUUACCCAGCAGCCUGCCGACUUGCUCCAGCCUCCUCUCUGUGGGCUCCGACCUCCAGGCGUGUCCGAUGGCCUCUGCCCAGUGCCAGCAUCCUAGGCUGCCGUUUUCUGCUUGCUAUCACUGAGCCUCAACUGCCUUUUCCAAGUUAGCAGAUGCCCGAAGACCGAAAGCACUUCACUUUGGGCUCAAGUCUCUGGAUUCCCUCUUCCGAUUCCUAGCCAAGUCCUUGCUGCUUUGGGAGAGUUCCAAAAGUCUUUCAACACUUCAAAACUUAUUUUGGACGUUUCUGGUUAUCCUCACUGGUAGACUACCCAGCUCACCUGCAGCAGAAGUCUAGCUGUGAGUGAUUAUUUAUAAUUCAGUUUGUAUAAUUUGGGAGGUGAAUGUGAUCCAAGGAUGUUAUAUGCGUGUGUGAAGAUGUCAAACUGAAAUCCAUUCUUUUGUGAAUCAGUAAAUACUAUAGAAAAGAAGAAUCUUUAAAAAUGGUAUAACUGCUCAUAAAUCAUAUGUAUUUUUAUGUCUCUUGAUUGCUCUAUGUUUAUAUAUAACUACAGUUCAAUCCCUUCAUUUUUAUUUCAAUAAAAUAUUCCACUAUAUCA